UUGCACAUGAAACUCUGAGCAUCUCUUUAAUUGUCAUCUUAGGAUAAAUUCCAGGAUUAGGGCUUGUGGGUCAAUACGUAGGCAGUUUAAAGAUAUUUACACAUAUUGUCAUUUUUGUUUUCCUUCUAGAAGACUAUAUCUGCUAAUACACCCAUCCUUGUUGACUAUUUACGGUUUUACCCAACUCCUGAGUGCUAUGGUCAGUGCCACCAAGUUCAUGGGUCUGGCAGUGAUGGGAAAAUGGAGAUGCAUUUCUUGCAGUCCAGCUAAUGGAUACUUGGUGAACUUGUUUGUUGUUGCUCAGUUGGUAAGUCGUGUCCAACUCUGUGACCCCAUGUACUGCAGUACACCAGCUUUCCCUGUUCUUCACUAUCUCCCGGAGUUUGCUCAAACUCGUGCCCAUUAAGUCAGUGAUGCCAUCCAACCAUCUCAUCUUCUGUUGCCCCCUUCUCUUGCCCUCAGUCUUUCCCAGCAUCAGAGUCUUUUCCAGUAAGUUGGCUCUUUGCAUCAGGUGGCCAAAGUGGAGCAUUGGAGUAUCAACUUCAGCAUCAGUCCUUUCAAUGAAUAUUCAGGACUGAUUUCCUUUAGGAUUGACUGGUUUGAUCUCCAUGCUGUCCAAGGGACUCUCAAGAGUCUUCUCCAGCCCCACAGUUUGAAAGCAUCAAUUAUCCAGUGCUCAGUCUUCUUUAUGGUCCAGUUCUCACAUCCAUAUAUGACUACUGGAAAAACCAUAGCUUUGACCAUAUGGACCUUUGUCAACAGAGUGAUGUCUGGUUUUUAAUACACUAUCUAGUUUUGUCAUAGCUUUUCUUCCAAGGAGCAAGCAUCUUGCCCACUACGUUUCUAUUAUGCUCAUCAACCUGAAAAAAUUAUUUUAUCUUUCAAUCUGCUUUGCCCCAAAGCACCAUAUCCACAAAUAACCAUGGAAACAAGAAGCAAACAUUUGACAUGUGUACUUCUCCCAUCCAUUGAUUUCACUCUGAAAGUACAUCUCCACUCUUCUGGCACAAGAAUGUUCUAAAUGUAAAUCAUUUGCUUGUUUAUCUUGCCACUGAAUCUGAAGUGAAAACAGAAACAAAUAUACAAGCAAUAUCUUAAUCAUGAAAAAAAAUAUUUAGCCUCAAAAUUCCCCAGAUUGCUCUUGGACAAAAAUCAUGAAGAUAAAAUAAUUAGAUUUUUUUUCCUUCCAACAAUCAAUUCCUCUCUGUGCAUGAGUGUGUGUUUAAAUAUUAAAAUAGUCAUGUGCCUCAAACAAUAAUGUUUGUAAAUACCCUGGACCUGAAUGCUUAGUAGGGUGAGAAACUUAAACCCCAAGAAGGUAAUAAUCUGUCCAGUUUUCUAAAAGGCUAGAACAUUUGAAGUUUAUAUUGUAGCAAGUUUUAAAGUUUCCCCUGCCAGAUCCAACA
rnacentral:lncRNA from 1 species